CCUACGGGUGGCAGCAGUGGGGAAUAUUGGACAAUGGGGGGAACCCUGAUCCAGCCAUGCCGCGUGUGUGAAGAAGGCCCUCGGGUUGUAAAGCACUUUCAGUGAGGAAGAACGCCUGGUGGUUAAUACCCAUCAGGAAAGACAUCACUCACAGAAGAAGCACCGGCUAACUCCGUGCCAGCAGCCGCGGUAAUACGGAGGGUGCGAGCGUUAAUCGGAAUUACUGGGCGUAAAGCGCGCGUAGGUGGCUUGAUAAGCCGGUUGUGAAAGCCCCGGGCUCAACCUGGGAACGGCAUCCGGAACUGUCAAGCUAGAGUGCAGGAGAGGAAGGUAGAAUUCCCGGUGUAGCGCUUAAAUGCGUAGAGAUCGGGAGGAAUACCAGUGGCGAAGGCGGCCUUCUGGACUGACACUGACACUGAGGUGCGAAAGCGUGGGUAGCACACAGGAUUAGAUACCCUGGUAGUC
rnacentral:rRNA from 1 species